rnacentral:rRNA from 1 species
GACGUAGGAUGCAAGCGUUGUCCGGAAUUAUUGGGCGUAAAGAGCGUGUAGGCGGCCGAGUAAGUCCGGUGUGAAAACUCGAGGCUUAACCUCGAGAUGUCAUCGGAAACUAUUCGGCUAGAGUCCGGAAGAGGAGAGUGGAAUUCCUGGUGUAGCGGUGAAAUGCGCAGAUAUCAGGAAGAACACCUAUGGCGAAAGCAGCUCUCUGGGACGGUACUGACGCUGAGACGCGAAAGCGUGGGGAGCGAACAGG